rnacentral:rRNA from 1 species
CCUACGGGAGGCUGCAGUGGGGAAUAUUGGACAAUGGGGGGAACCCUGAUCCAGCCAUGCCGCGUGUGUGAAGAAGGCCCUCGGGUUGUAAAGCACUUUCAGUGAGGAAGAACGCCUGGUGGUUAAUACCCAUCAGGAAAGACAUCACUCACAGAAGAAGCACCGGCUAACUCCGUGCCAGCAGCCGCGGUAAUACGGAGGGUGCGUGCGUUAAUCGGAAUUACUGGGCGUAAAGCGCGCGUAGGUGGCUUGAUAAGCCGGUUGUGAAAGCCCCGGGCUCAACCUGGGAACGGCAUCCGGAACUGUCAAGCUAGAGUGCAGGAGAGGAAGGUAGAAUUCCCGGUGGAGCGGUGAAAUGCGUAGAGAUCGGGAGGAAUACCAGUGGCGAAGGCGGCCUUCUGGACUGACACUGACACUGAGGUGCGAAAGCGUGGGUAGCAAACAGGAUUAGAUACCCCUGUAGUC